GAGAGUUUGAUCCUGGCUCAGGACGAACGCUGGCGGCGUGCUUAACACAUGCAAGUCGAACGAGAAGAGAUGAGAAGCUUGCUUCUUAUCAAUUCGAGUGGCAAACGGGUGAGUAACGCGUAAGCAACCUGCCCUUCAGAUGGGGACAACAGCUGGAAACGGCUGCUAAUACCGAAUACGUUCUUUUUGUCGCAUGGCAGAGGGAAGAAAGGGAGGCUCUUCGGAGCUUUCGCUGAAGGAGGGGCUUGCGUCUGAUUAGCUAGUUGGAGGGGUAACAGCCCACCAAGGCGACGAUCAGUAGCCGGUCUGAGAGGAUGAACGGCCACAUUGGGACUGAGACACGGCCCAGACUCCUACGGGAGGCAGCAGUGGGGAAUCUUCCGCAAUGGACGAAAGUCUGACGGUCAACGCCGUGUGAACGAUGACGGCCUUCGGGUUGUAAAGUCCUUAUACGGACGAAUGGCGUCAGCGGUCAAUACCCGUUACGAGUGACGGUACCGUAAGAGAAAGCC
rnacentral:rRNA from 1 species